UCUCUGGUAGUAUAUCGGAUAGUACACCCGCCUGUCAUGUCAUGGUGCGCGGGAGAGCGGGGUUCGACUCCCCGCCAGAGAG